GCGGUCGUGGUGGAACUGGCAGACACGCUAUCUUGAGGGGGUAGUGGCCGUAAGGCCGUGCGAGUUCGAAUCUCGCCGACCGCACCA
rnacentral:tRNA from 2 species